rnacentral:misc_RNA from 1 species
GUAGGUGAACCUGCGGAAGGAUCAUUAACAAAUCUGAGUUGUGGGCGUGUUGUGUGUGCCUUGUGCACGCGCACCGCCUACACAUUUACUCCGAGCCGGCCUAAACAGCCGGCUUUGGUUUGGGCCUUUGGGUUCAAGGCGAUGGUUGGUGCGGGGCUUGCCGUUCGCGGUGAGCCUUUCCGCGAGACCUAGCCACAUAGACGCUUGUUUUGUUUGACAGAGUUAUAUCAGUGUAUCCACACACAAAUGA